AUUAUUUGAUGAGACAUACAAAAGUAAACUCAAAGUGAAUUUAGUGCAAACGGCUAACGUUAGUCAACGGCUUUAACAAACAUAACAUUAGCUAACUGAUGCUAAAAUGUCAAACUUUAGAGCGAGUGAAGCCGGAUCUCAGGAGAAACCUGGGUUCUCAUUAACCAAGGCGGUGGAGGACGUCAGCCAGCACGGCUUCGCCCAGACCGAGGCCCUGAGAGACAACCAGAAGACCCUCAUCUCCCUGCAGGCAACUCUCUCAGAGGUUGAGGAGAAAGGUGAGGUGGCGGAGCAGGAGCUGAGAUCUAAAGUGAGGGAGUUCCUGAUGCUGGAGGGCGAGAUGGAGCACCUGGAGCGGCAGGCCAAAGUCCUGCAUGAUCGCUGUACAUCCAUCGGCAAGGAAAACACAGAGCUACAGAUUGGUAUAAUCGAUGAGGAGGAGAACGCUCGCAUGGCACUGGCAAACUUCAACACAUAUAGAAAUAAGAUGGAGUGUCACAGAGCUGCUGUGUUGCAUGCGGCGAGCCAGACGGAGGCCCACAAAGAGCUGGAGGAGAAGAGGAUGCUGGUCCGGAUGCUGACACAGAAGAAAGAGGAGCUGAGGGAAGAUUUGGGGAAUCCAAAUGGAAACACAGUGCAGAUGGCAAAGAGUGAGCGUAACGCUCUGAAGAUUGAGUUCUCUGUGAUGAAGGAGACUGUAGCGAAGAAGAGAGAGCAACUACAAAAACAGUUUGCAACUCAUACCCAGAUAAAGAAAGACAUAGAGAUCCAGAACAGGCGCUAUGAAGCCAUCGUCAAACGGCUCCACUGCCAACUGAGCCGGGCCCAGGCUGCACACAGGAUACGUUCCACAUAUUAAACGCUGCCAAACUGUGUGUGCUUCACUCAGGCAAAUGUCUGAAGACGUCUACCACAUGGAGAGAGAGCUAGCCGAGCUCAAAGGGCAGCUGGAGUCAUCUCAGGACUCAGCGCAGCAGCGUCGUAAAUAGACGAGGUUAAUCCUGUCCGAGUACAUCCUGUCCCUGCCGCGGCGGCGUGCUUGAAGAAAACACCUUUUGUCAAUGAAACAGGAUUUGCGAAAGUGCCAUCUGGACAGGAGCUCCAUCUCCACGCUGCGUCUGAUCCACCGAGCCAGCCGGUCAGCUGGUCCGAGGUCACGGAUCAGACUGACCUGAGGAGGAAGAGGAGGCACGUCGACGCCCUCCAAAUAGAUAUAUUAAUUAGAUUUUGUCCCACGUCACCCAAAAACUGAAGCUCUUGUUUCAUAUUUAUCAUACCAGAGGUGUAAAAAAACACAAAGCUUUUCAUUAAAAUUAAUUAAUAUCCCA